GUGCGCAGCCCGCCAGAGUCCCUCUCAGCCCGGGGAAAGAGAACGGGGGAUGUAAGGCACGACGACGGGCGAAGUCUGCCAGGUUGUGCGUGCGCGGACGCGUACGGAGCCCGACCUGCCGCUCUAGCGCUGCUCUUCAAGCAACGUGUCUUUUUCGUGCUUCUCAAAGGGGAAGAAGAAGAAGAGGCAGGGAAGCGAAGCCGAUCGAAGGUGGAGGAAGGACUUCUUCGCCCCUCUGCUGAUCGCUUAAUCCGUCUCUAGAAGCCUCUUUAUGGUGGUGGAGGUGGAACGGGGGUGGCGGUUGUCUUCUACUCGGAGGACCCUCCCUGGCGUCGCCGGAUCCCUAGGCGUCCUCGCCUGCUCUUCGCCCGAUGACCGCGGAAAGAAGGCCCGCAAACCCUACACCAUCACCGAGUCGAGGGAGAACUGGUCGGAGGAGGAGCACGACAAGUUCCUCGAAGCUCUCCAACUAUAAGGAGCCAUGCACAAAAGUACUUUCUGAAGGUUCAGAAGAAUGGUAGAAAUGAACAUGUACCACCACCUCGACCCAAGCAGAAAGCAGCUUAUCCAUAUCCUCAGAAAGCUGCUAAAAAUGAUAUGUCAAAACAAAAAUCUACUUGUGAGUUCUGCCCAUUUUGAACCAACAUCAUCGAUGCAUAGAGAUCCUGCAACAAUGCCUUUUUUUUCAUUGGGUUCAGAGUUCUAUCGAGCCUGUUACUUCAUCUCAUUCGACAAAAGGUCUGAUAGUUUUAUUUUAAUAUUUGUUUUGGUGAUUUGAUCAAAUAUAUUAGAGAGGUCUGGUAAGUUUGCAGAUGAUAUAGUAAAUUCCGGAGCUUUGACCGUAAGCUCCUGUUGCUGAAGUACUGCUGACAGUCCCAGAACUUGGCCUUCUUAUGAAACAGUGGAUCGAGGGAAUCUGGUCACUUCUCUUCAUGUUAUGCCAGAUUUUGCUCAGGUGUACAACUUUCUUGGCAGUGUGUUUGACCCUAAUACAAGUGGCCAUCUGCAAAAAUUGAAAGCAACAGAUCCAAUCGAUGUUGAAACAGUAAGCUACUAGCAAUUUGAUCUUCUGCUUAUAGUUUUCACAUUCC